AGAGUUUGAUCCUGGCUCAGAACGAACGCUGGCGGCAUGCCUAACACAUGCAAGUCGAACGAGGGCUUCGGCCCAGUGGCGCACGGGUGAGUAACGCGUGGGAACCUGCCCUGUGGUACGGAAUAACUCCGGGAAACUGGAGCUAAUACCGUAUGUGUCCUGCGGGACAAAGAUUUAUCGCCAUGGGAUGGGCCCGCGUAGGAUUAGCUUGUUGGUGGGGUAACGGCCUACCAAGGCAACGAUCCUUAGCUGGUCUGAGAGGAUGAUCAGCCACACUGGGACUGAGACACGGCCCAGACUCCUACGGGAGGCAGCAGUGGGGAAUAUUGGACAAUGGGCGCAAGCCUGAUCCAGCAAUGCCGCGUGAGUGAUGAAGGCCUUCGGGUUGUAAAGCUCUUUCGCACGCGACGAUGAUGACGGUAGCGUGAGAAGAAGCCCCGGCUAACUUCGUGCCAGCAGCCGCGGUAAUACGAAGGGGGCUAGCGUUGUUCGGAAUUACUGGGCGUAAAGGGCGCGUAGGCGGUACUUCAAGUCAGGCGUGAAAGCCCCGGGCUCAACCUGGGAACCGCGCUUGAGACUGGAGAACUAGAGUUCGGGAGAGGAUGGUGGAAUUCCCAGUGUAGAGGUGAAAUUCGUAGAUAUUGGGAAGAACACCGAUGGCGAAGGCAGCCAUCUGGACCGACACUGACGCUGAGGCGCGAAAGCGUGGGGAGCAAACAGGAUUGAUACCCUGGUAGUCUAAA
rnacentral:rRNA from 1 species